AUAGAACGCUGGCGGAAUGCUUUACACAUGCAAGUCGAACGAUGAAGUCUAGCUUGCUAGACGGAUUAGUGGCGAACGGGUGAGUAAUAUAUCGGAACGUACCUUGUAAUGGGGGAUAACUAGUCGAAAGAUUAGCUAAUACCGCAUACGCCCUGAGGGGGAAAGUAGGGGAUCUUCGGACCUUACGUUAUAAGAGCGGCCGAUAUCUGAUUAGCUAGUUGGUGGGGUAAAGGCCUACCAAGGCGACGAUCAGUAGCUGGUCUGAGAGGACGACCAGCCACACUGGAACUGAGACACGGUCCAGACUCCUACGGGAAGCAGCAGUGGGGAAUUUUGGACAAUGGGCGAAAGCCUGAUCCAGCCAUUCCGCGUGAGUGAAGAAGGCCUUCGGGUUGUAAAGCUCUUUCGCAAGGGAAGAAAACUUACAUUCUAAUAAAGUGUGAGGCUGACGGUACCUUGAUAAGAAGCACCGGCUAACUACGUGCCAGCAGCCGCGGUAA
rnacentral:rRNA from 1 species